GGGCUUCCGUGUUGCCUAGGGUUCACUGGGGCGAGUGAAAAGCAAGGAAUCCUUGGGUUGGCAUCACAGGCUCAGUCUUGCGUAUGUUGGCCAGGGCUUUCUCACAGCUCCUGGAACGGACCUCAGACAUGCAUCACGUGGCCCUCUGAAAACAUGGAGCUUAUUGCUCCGAAGCCAACAGGAGAGCUUCUUCCAAUCCUGCUGCUGCUGCUCUUACAGCUGCUUACAACAGCUAUUAUUGUUGCUAGAGUCUUAUAUUCAAUGUGAAACCAUAGUUGAAAUGAUCCCACCACUUUUGCUGUAUCACAUAAAUAAAAGGAGGGAAAUCCCAUUAGACUCCCAAGCCCUGUCUGUACUCAGGGAGAGGUUAUAAUCCAGUGGUUCAGGAAUCUUAGAGUGAUUUUUAGGUCUUGUCAACCCUGGCUCUUGAAUGGGUAACUGACAACAGGUGAAAUCUUUCUUAACCAAUUUUUCACUUUUUUUUCUUUGACAUUCUCUUGAGAACAGCCACUAGUUUAUUAUUGUGCAUAGAAAGUGUGAAUCUACAAGGACACCUAUGUCUCAAGAUACACCUGGGAGCAUAU